rnacentral:lncRNA from 1 species
UUUAAUUUCAAAAAAUAUAGGACCAAUUGCAUUCUUCUCCAUUUAAAUUCUAGUUUCUAUAAAUGAUUUUUAAUAUUUUUUAUUUUGUCAUUUGAUAUUUUUUGUGAAUUUUCUCUUUUCUGGUUAUAUUUAAUUCAUUUUAAAUAGUUUUUUAUAUUCAAAAAAUACAAAAAUAUUUUAAUUCAAGUUUAUUUUAAAUAUUAAAAAUGCCAAAAAAUAUUUUGUUCAUUUCU